AUUAAACUGUCUUUGCCGACAACAGAACAAGCAGGAACAGUUUCUUCAUGUUCUGAUCUCACACCAUGCGAUUUCUGGCUGUUUCUGAUGUUGAAAGAGAAGUUCCGUAGAAAAUUUUUUUAUUACAGAUUCUGAUGUUAUUUGAGCAAUGCAGUGCUCCUUAAUUCAGCUUCUUUACUUGUUUUGAAAAGCGGUGAAUGAUGGGAUUGUUGUAUAUCAACAGAAGGAAGGUCGCAUGCUAUAUAAUGCUGUACUUGAUCAUGAAUCUGAUGAUGCUUUGAAACCAAAUGCAAGCCCUUUUGAUCAUGAAGAAGAUAAAAAAGAGGAUAAUUUCCAAAUUUCUUAAGAUAGUUAAUGGUUGAUAUAUAACUCCUUGACGAGGAAAUGAGCAAAAUGAAAAAAUCCUUAGUAAGGCCUUGGCUCACAAGGGGCUAUUGAAUCAGCAAAGGAAGUAAAUGGAGGUUGAUAUGCAAUCAAAAUUCUUGAUUGUGUUAGAUGACACUGGAAUAGCAGUUAUAGUUGAUAGUGUAGAGUCCAGCCGAUCGUAACAUGGCCUACAGCUUUUGUUGUUCACCUCAUUGCUAUAACGAAACCCAGCAGAUCUCAUUCAAAAGGUAUGUGGUGUUGUUGGCUGCUGAUGUGUUACAACACUUUUUAUUAUUUUCAUAUUUCUUUGUAUUAUUCAUUGUAUUCUUUAUAUCAUAUUUUAUAACACACACACAGAUAUAUAUAUAUACAGAGAUGAUUGUGCUCUGGAAAAAAUAUGGAUUUCCGAAUUUUUCGCUAAUUGCGAUCUGAAAGUUUUCGGAAAUCCAAGGUCCAUAGGUUUUAAGAAAUCAACCAUCACAUUUAUGUAUAAAAAUUCAUGUAUAAAUUUUACAAGCACUCGUUGCGACGCACGCGGCUCCUGUUAUUGUACACAACAAGUAUAUUCUAGUAAAAUAUAUUCUUUAUUUGUACCUGAACUUGUAUAGUUUUGAAACAUAAGUAAUUGUUUUUAUAUGUAAAAAUUAACAGUUGUCGUGUUUGUAACCACAACGUUGUUCAAUUAAAUCUUUAC
rnacentral:lncRNA from 1 species